rfam:Ovis aries breed Texel chromosome 2, whole genome shotgun sequence.
UCCCUGGUGGUCCAGUGGCUAAGACCUCACACUCCCAAUGCAGGAGGCCCAGGUUCGAUCCCUGGCCAGGGAA